rnacentral:ncRNA from 1 species
GCAGAUCGAGGAAGCGACGACCCGCGACCGUCCCGAACGGUCACCUUCAUCCCCUCGGGGAGACGGUCGCGGCGAGCUAGUGGUGAGACCGGCCUCGAUCGUG